GGAGUUGCAGGGAUGGGCGCGGGCACCAGCUGUCCUGCUCGAAGAUGUGAGGGGAGUGAGGGAAAGAUGUGAGGGGAAUGUGAGGGAAGGUGAGAGGGGAAAGAUGUGAGGGGAA